rnacentral:rRNA from 1 species
AUUGAACGCUGGCGGCAGGCCUAACACAUGCAAGUCGAACGGUAACAGGAAGCAGCUUGCUGCUUCGCUGACGAGUGGCGGACGGGUGAGUAAUGUCUGGGAAACUGCCUGAUGGAGGGGGAUAACUACUGGAAACGGUAGCUAAUACCGCAUAACGUCGCAAGACCAAAGAGGGGGACCUUAGGGCCUCUUGCCAUCGGAUGUGCCCAGAUGGGAUUAGCUAGUAGGUGGGGUAACGGCUCACCUAGGCGACGAUCCCUAGCUGGUCUGAGAGGAUGACCAGCCACACUGGUACUGAGACACGGUCCAGACUCCUACGGGAGGCAGCAGUGGGGAAUAUUGCACAAUGGGCGCAAGCCUGAUGCAGCCAUGCCGCGUGUAUGAAGAAGGCCUUCGGGUUGUAAAGUACUUUCAGCGGGGAGGAAGGGAGUAAAGUUAAUACCUUUGCUCAUUGACGUUACCCGCAGAAGAAGCACCGGCUAACUCCGUG